ACGGGAGGCAGCAGUGGGGGAUAUUGCGCAAUGGGGGAAACCCUGAUGCAGCGACGCCGCGUGAGCGAUGAAGUAUUUCGGUAUGUAAAGCUCUAUCAGCAGGGAAGAAAAUGACGGUACCUGACUAAGAAGCUCCGGCUAAAUACGUGCCAGCAGCCGCGGUAAUACGUAUGGAGCAAGCGUUAUCCGGAUUUACUGGGUGUAAAGGGAGCGUAGACGGCGUGGCAAGUCUGAUGUGAAAGCUAUGGGCUCAACCCAUAAACUGCAUUGGAAACUGUCAUGCUAGAGUGUCGGAGAGGUAAGCGGAAUUCCUAGUGUAGCGGUGAAAUGCGUAGAUAUUAGGAGGAACAUCAGUGGCGAAGGCGGCUUACUGGGCUUUAACUGACGCUGAGGCUCGAAAGCGUGGGGAGCAAACAGGAUUAGAUACCCUGGUA
rnacentral:rRNA from 1 species